UACGUAGGGUGCGAGCGUUAAUCGGAAUUACUGGGCGUAAAGCGUGCGCAGGUGGUCUCGCAAGUCGAGUGUGAAAGCCCCGGGCUUAACCUGGGAAUUGCGCUCGAAACUACGGGACUUGAGUGUGGCAGAGGGAGGUGGAAUUCCACGUGUAGCGGUGAAAUGCGUAGAGAUGUGGAGGAACACCGAUGGCGAAGGCAGCCUCCUGGGCCAACACUGACACUCAGGCACGAAAGCGUGGGGAGCAAACAGG
rnacentral:rRNA from 1 species